UGCUACCUCUGGCAUUGGAUUUGGCGGUCUGAGGGUGUGUAAACGUGUGUGACCCUGUCGCGCUGGCCCAGAGGCUUCAGGAAGCAGUCAUAAAGUUGGAACUGAAUGCUGCGGGUCACCCCAGGGGAAGACCUGUGGUGGGAAACGUUGCAGCCCCUCUGCCUUCGUGGAACAGUUGCUCUUCAGAGACCAUAUGGGAUGCAAUUGCAUGAAGAUUCUCUACUGAGAUCUCACUGCUUGAGUCGCAGGAUGCACAGGGUCAGGCUAGGCCCGACUGGAGAGUCGUUUGACUGGCACCAGUUCAACAGCUGGCAGUGGAAGCCAAACAGUUUCCAGGAAGGUUUUUGCUGUUGUUGCUGUUUGAGAAGUUCUUUUUUUCUAUAGAGCUGUGGACAUACACAGGACAGGAAAGUGAAAGCAAAUAUACCCUCCCCCUCUGCAAGAAUGCUUCUGUUGAAGUAGCUACAACUUUGAAAAGCCUUUCCUCUGGUGACCUGGAAGCCCCUGGAAACCUUAGCUCGGAGUUCCUUGCUGUGCUUUGCCCUUACCCUACCCUAGGGGUCAUGGCGACAGCUUUGACAACAUAGGGCCAGUGAUGAAGCCUGCUUGGAAGUGGAGCCAGUGCCUGGUAUGUUGUGGUGUUAUUACCUAACCAAGCGGAACAUAUACUCCACGUCUAGGAUGCUGAAGGAGAUAAGUGGGCCUCCUAGUGAAUACGGCUGUUAAGAAAUAUCUUUGCUAUGAGUUUGUGCCUCCCAGUAAUAUUAGAAACUAUACCCGUAAGUCUUACCAGCAUGACUGCUCAACGUGAGCAGAGCCAGGAGGACAGCAACAAACACACCAGACUGCGCAGGGAAAAGCCCAGAAGGCCUCAGCCCUACAAAGAGAGCUACAGACAACCGAGUCAAGCUGGAAGCAAAAGAGGUGGCCCCAGGAAGAGCGUGACAAUUGAGUGUCCAGUGCCAAAUGGUCAGCCCUGAAGCAUACAUACAAGUAGUAUAUAGUCUCACAGGUUAUAUUUGUAAACACACACACACACACACACACACACACACACACAAGAGCACACACACAGAGUAAUAAAAACUUAUCCUUUUUUUUUUUAAGAAUGUUUUUAGUUGGUUGUAGUG